GAUGAACGCUGGCGGCGUGCCUAAUACAUGCAAGUCGAGCGAACAGACGAGGAGCUUGCUCCUCUGACGUUAGCGGCGGACGGGUGAGUAACACGUGGAUAACCUACCUAUAAGACUGGGAUAACUUCGGGAAACCGGAGCUAAUACCGGAUAAUAUAUUGAACCGCAUGGUUCAAUAGUGAAAGACGGUUUUGCUGUCACUUAUAGAUGGAUCCGCGCCGCAUUAGCUAGUUGGUAAGGUAACGGCUUACCAAGGCAACGAUGCGUAGCCGACCUGAGAGGGUGAUCGGCCACACUGGAACUGAGACACGGUCGAGACUCCUACGGGAGGCAGCAGUAGGGAAUCUUCCGAAAGGGGCGAAAGCCUGACGGAGCAACGCCGCGUGAGUGAUGAAGGUCUUCGGAUCGAAAAACUCUGUUAUUGGGGAAGAACAAAUGUGUAAGUAACUAUGCACGUCGUGAGGGUACCAAAUCAGAAAGCCAGGGCAAACCACG
rnacentral:rRNA from 1 species